GUAACACGUGAGUGACCUGCCUUUUAGACUGGAACAACUUACCGAAAGGUGAGCUAAUGCCGGAUGAGUUAUAUAAGUGCAUGUUUAUAUAGGAAAAGUUGGGGAGACCUGACGCUGAAAGAUGGACUCGCGUCCCAUUAGCUAGUUGGUAGGGUAAUGGCCUACCAAGGCGACGAUGGGUAGCCGGCCUGAGAGGGUGGCCGGCCACACUGGGACUGAGACACGGCCCAGACUCCUACGGGAGGCAGCAGUGGGGAAUUUUGCGCAAUGCUCGUAAGAGUGACGCAGCGACGCCGCGUGAAUGACGAAGGCCUUCGGGUCGUAAAGUUCUUUCGACAGGGAAGAAAAUGCCUAUAAGUAACUGUGUAUGUAUUGACGGUACCUGUAUAAGCAGCCCCGGCUAACUCCGUGCCAGCAGCCGCGGUAAUACGGAGGGGGCGAGCGUUGUUCGGAGUGACUGGGCGUAAAGAGCACGUAGGCGGUGUUGUAAGUCAUUAGUCAAAGACUAGAGCUCAACUUUAGUAAGGCUAGUGAUACUAUAAUACUAGAGUAUCAGAGAGGAUUGCAGAAUUCCUGGUGUAGCGGUGAAAUGCGUAGAUAUCAGGAGGAAUACCGUUAGCGAAGGCGGCAAUCUGGCUGGAAACUGACGCUGAGGUGCGAAAGCGUGGGUAGCAAACAGGAUUAGAUACCCUNUAGU
rnacentral:rRNA from 1 species